CGCCCGUCUGAGACAAAGGGCCCGCGACUCGAACAGAGCUUCUGGACUCUGUCACUGUAACUCUGCAGCAAGCUUUCCUAAAGUGGAGUUGGAGAUAGCACCUCAGUAAAUGUCCUGUACCCACUACUUAUUGAGGACACACCCUGUUGACUGCUAAAAAUUUUCAUGGGACACAGUUCUGGGAAGUAAGACAUUAGGAGAAGUAAGCUGUCCUCUCCUGACAAGAGAUGUGCUUGGCAGGCUGUGAGGAGAGGAGGAGUUACAAGAGUAAAAAGGUCUCUCUCUAGAAGAGAAUUCACUAACGAGUCUGGCACUGUUUUCCACCUGAUAAGAGACAUUUACCAUCUAUUCUCUGAAGCUUGCUACCUGGAGACUUCAUUUGCAUAAUAAAAACCUUGGUCUCCAGAACCCCUUAUCAUAAUCCAGACACUCUUUUCUAUUGAUUCCAGGACUUUAGAUAACUCUUUCAACCAAUUGCCAAUAGAAAAUUUUUGAAUCCACCUAUGACCUGGAAGCACCUCCAUGGCCAACUUUGAGUUGUCCCGCCUUUCCAGACCAAAUCGAUGUAUACAUGUAUUGAUUGAUGUCUGCUUGUAACUUCUGUCCCCCUAAAAUGUAUAAAACCAAGCUAUAACCCAACCACUUUGGGCACGUGUUCUCAGGACAUUUUAUGGCUAUGUCACAGGCCUUGGUCACUCAUAUUUGGCUCAGAAUAAAUCUCUUUAUAUUUUA